AGCUCCAAUAGCGUAUAUUAAAGUUGUUGCAGUUAAAAAGCUCGUAGUUGGAUUUGUGGCGUUGUGCCUUGGCGUUGGGAUUCGUUUCCUUUUCUGCCUUGGCCGUGCCAUCCUUGGGUGGAAUCUGUGUGGCAUUAGGUUGUCGUGCAGGGGAUGCCCAUCGUUUACUGUGAAAAAAUUAGAGUGUUCAAAGCAGGCUUAUGCCGUUAAAUAUAUUAGCAUGGAAUAAUAAGAUAGGUCUUUGGUCCUAUUUUGUUGGUUUGCGGGCCGGAGAAAUGAUUAACAGGGACAGUUGGGGGUAUUCGUAUUCCAUUGUCAGAGGUGAAAUUCUUGGAUUUCUGGAAGACGAACUACUGCGAAAGCAUUUACCAAGGAUGUUUUCAUUAAUCAAGAACGAAAG
rnacentral:rRNA from 1 species